AGUUGCUAUACAUGAAACUGCUAUAUUUCAAUGUGAAAGCAUAUAAACACUUUAAACGAUUAAAUAUCCAGUAAUGAUGUUAUCACAUUAUUUAGCAGAACAUACAAUUAAUUAUUUAUCGUGAAUGUUUAUUACUUAGAUAUUUCAUAGGUAGCAGCCUUUAAUGUGUAUAAAUCUGAUAAUGCGACAUGAGUCGUUCGAUUUUCAGUGAAUACUUAUACUAGAGUCAAUUUGUUAAUUUAAACAAAGUCACAAUGAUUAAUACUAUACGAAAUUUACGAGCCUUUCUUAAGUAUUGGUACUUCCGAUAUACGCUAAUUACUGAAAUGUACAUGUUGGAAAAAUGGGAGAGGAACUUGAUGAAUAUUUUUAUUCUAGUAAUGUUUGCUCUCUUUUUUGUUUUCAAUUACAAAGUAAUACUGCCAAUGACAAACCAUAUUUUACAAAACUAAUUGGAAUUUGGAUUAUUUCUGCAAUGUGAAUAUUAUAUUGUUUCAACAUUCCAAUUAAUUUUUAAUUAUAAGGAAAGGUGAUCAUGUAAAAUAUAUUAAAAAUAUAUUU